ACGACUCUCGGCAACGGAUAUCUCGGCUCUCGCAUCGAUGAAGAACGUAGCGAAAUGCGAUACCUGGUGUGAAUUGCAGAAUCCCGCGAACCAUCGAGUCUUUGAACGCAAGUUGCGCCCGAGGCCACUCGGCCGAGGGCACGCCUGCCUGGGCGUCGCGC
rnacentral:rRNA from 1 species